rnacentral:lncRNA from 1 species
UUAGAGGCAAGUCUGAAUGAGUUUAUAUUUUUUUGGGACAAAAUUAACCUAUUCAAUAUUACAAAAUUUCUCUUAUAUCCCUCUAAUAAAAUACACAAUAUACACUCCCGUCAUCGCCAUCGCCAUCGCCGAUUUCUUUCAUCUGCCAGUACAAAUUUACCAUCUCCGGUGAGGUUCAACCCACUCUUCACACCAUCUCCUGCAAAAAAUAUUGAACCCAUAUCUGAUUGAAGACAAAAGUUAACCCUUUUUUCAUACAUCCCAAAAUUACAGGAAGAGAGAGACCAUUGAAACAAAUAGAGGUUACUGAAUAAAACCUGAAGGAGGAGAUUGAAGGACGAAUCGAUGAUGUCUCGCACCAUCUCACUUUCCAAGAAACUCAUUACUACUUCUUGUAUCUGUACAUGUAUGUAGCUUUCCUGAAAAGAGGGAAAGUGGUGAUUCU